AACCCUGUGAGAAUGCCCUACUACGCCCAAAUGCUGGGAUAAAGGAGCAGGUAUUAGGCACAACCCUACGUUAGCCCAUGACACCUUGCACAGCCACACCCCCACGGGAUUCAGCAGUAAUAAACAUUAAGCUAUAAGUGCAAACUUGACUUAGUUACGAUCAAGAGGGCCGGUAAAACUCGUGCCAGCCACCGCGGUUAUACGAGAGGCCCAAGUUGACAGAAAUCGGCGUAAAGAGUGGUUAAUAAGUACUAAACUAAAGCCGAACACCUUCAGGACUGUCAUACGCGCCCGAAGGCAGGAAGCCCCCCAACGAAAGUGGCUUUAAAAACCAUGACUCCACGAAAGCUAGGAAACAAACUGGGAUUAGAUACCCCACUAUGCCUAGCCCUAAACACAAACGACCCGUUACACCCCCCCGUUCGCCAGGGAACAACGAGCCCCAGCUUAAAACCCAAAGGACUUGGCGGUGCUUUAGACCCCCCUAGAGGAGCCUGUUCUAGAACCGAUUCCCCCCGUUCAACCUCACCCUCUCUUGUUUUCCCCGCCUAUAUACCGCCGUCGUCAGCUUACCCCUUGCCGGCCCAACAGUAAGCAGAAUUGGCACAGCCCAAAACGUCAGGUCGAGGUGUAGCGUACGAGAGGGGAAGAAAUGGGCUACAUUUACUGGACCAGUAAACACGAAUGCUGUACUGAAACGUACAUCUGAAGGAGGAUUUAGCAGUAAGGAGGCAGCAGAGCGCCCUCCUGAAAAUGGCCCUGAAGCGAGCACACACCGCCCGUCACUCUCCCCGAAAAUCCGCGAGACAUUAAUAAUAAAACCAUGCCCAAAACGAAGGGGAGGCAAGUCGUAACAAGGUAAGUGUACCGGAAGGUGCACUUGGAAAAACU
rnacentral:ncRNA from 1 species